GUUUCAUCCCUCCUCUGUAGUUGCCAGCUGUUGGAUAUAGGAUUACUGUAGACUUCCAUCAUCCUCCAGUCUCUCAUGUUUGUUUCACAUCACCCUUUAUGUGGGCUGCUGGCCUUCCCGUGCAUAUCUGUGUGGUACUUAGUACAGAGGACUAUAGUGUCCUUUGUGCCUCUGGGUAAUAAGUCAUUCUGACCUAAAACAAUAUGAGAACAAAUCUGUGAUGGAUUCAGUGACCUUGAAUAAUCUUUUGACUACCUAAGUAUAUAAUCCCAUUUUCCAUAUCUAUGCUGCUGUUGGUACUGAGCAAAGGUCUUCUGUGGAGAGAUCCUCUGCACUUUCUCGAAUUGUUUCCGCACGGCUUCCACUACUGUACCAGGCACGGACUAGAGAACUGGGACCUUCUCAGCCAGGUGAACUGCAGGAAUCUGCAACCAGACAGUUGGGAAAUAAGGAAAUCAGCAGGCAGGAGUUUGGUGGUCGGAAAACACCUGGACUCUGGUGUCUGUUUUCACUGUGUGGUUUCUGGGCCAUCCAGGCCCCCAGUUCCUUCAGGUGAUGCAGACCACUUUUCCGAAGACCAAAGUGCGGGUAAGACUGAGGAUCCUUCUACAGCUCUACUGGCAUAUGGACAAAGAUGCUGGCUGGUGAAGCUGAAUUGUAGUUCUUCUUUUGCUGGAUGUGGUCUCUGAUUUACAGAAAUUACUCUUGCCUAGUUUACAGUGAAAAAAAGAUGUUCUACCCAUGUGCCAAAAGUUUAGUGUAAACAAAGACCAUUGUCAUUCUCACAUUAUAGCAAGCCAUCAUAAUGCCUUCCAUUUUCUUAUUCAGGGAGUCUGAGCUACUACUUCUAGGUAGGAUUUUAAGAUAUGGUAAAAAUACACUUUUUUAUCCUUAGUAUUUCUGCAGAACUGAAGCAGAUUUUCCUGGCUGAGAUGUGAAGAUCCAGUUCUCAGAUACUCCUGACUGAUAAUUAAACAUGUGGUGAAGUGGUCUAUUUUAAUAGAUUAUAAAUUCUCUCAUAUGUUAUGUGAUACUUGGUAUCAAUAUUUUACAUUUUGGGGUAAAAUACCUAAGCUGUAUUGAAAGACAUAUAGAGAGAUGAGUAAAACAAAAUUAAGAAAUUUUUUCCUAUAUGUUCUUUAUAUAUAA